UAACUAAUGGCACGAGCCAUUCUCCUACAGCCUUGAAUGGCGCCCCCUCACCACCCAAUGGCUUCAGCAAUGGGCCUUCCUCUUCUUCCUCCUCCUCUCUGGCUAAUCAACAGCUGCCCCCAGCCUGUGGUGCCAGGCAACUCAGCAAGCUGAAAAGGUUCCUUACUACCCUGCAGCAGUUUGGCAAUGACAUUUCACCCGAGAUAGGAGAAAGAGUUCGCACCCUCGUUCUGGGACUAGUGAACUCCACUUUGACAAUUGAAGAAUUUCAUUCCAAACUGCAAGAAGCUACUAACUUCCCACUGAGACCUUUUGUCAUCCCAUUUUUGAAGGCCAACUUGCCCCUGCUGCAGCGUGAGCUCCUCCACUGCGCAAGACUGGCCAAACAGAACCCUGCCCAGUACCUCGCCCAGCAUGAACAGCUGCUUCUGGAUGCCAGCACCACCUCACCUGUUGACUCCUCAGAGCUGCUUCUCGAUGUGAACGAAAACGGGAAGAGGCGAACUCCAGACAGGGAAAAGCUUCACUCUGACCAUCACUGUCUUCACAAACCCACCGCAAGUCGCCACCUACCACAGAGCCAUCAAAAUCACAGUGGAUGGGCCCCGAGAACCUCGAAAUCGUACUGAGAAGCACUCCACAAUGCCAGACUCACCUGUGGAUGUGAAGACGCAAUCUAGGCUGACUCCUCCAACAAUGCCACCUCCCCCAACUACUCAAGGAGCUCCAAGAACCAGUUCAUUUACACCGACAACGU
rnacentral:sRNA from 1 species